UGAGCAACAACAACAUCUUCACCACUAGCCAUUUUCGUCACUGCUUAACCUCCAAGCUCACACAGUACAAAACUCGAAUUUUACCUGAUCGCCGUUGUUCCGAACCAGAUAG